GAUGAACGCUGGCGGCGUGCCUAACACAUGCAAGUCGAGCGAGAAGCUCAUGACGGAAUCUUCGGAGGACGGAUUGAGUGGAAAGCGGCGGACGGGUGAGUAACGCGUGGGUAACCUGCCCUAUACAGGGGGAUAGCCAUUGGAAACGAUGAUUAAUACCCCAUAUGACCACAGUAUCGCAUGAUACAGCGGUGAAAACUCCGGUGGUAUAGGAUGGUCUCGCGUCUGAUUAGCUAGUUGGUGGGGUAACGGCCUACCAAGGCGACGAUCAGUAGCCGGCCUGAGAGGGUGACCGGCCACACUGGAACUGAGACACGGUCCAGACUCCUACGGGAGGCAGCAGUGGGGAAUAUUGCACAAUGGGCGAAAGCCUGAUGCAGCGACGCCGCGUGAACGAUGAAGGCUUUCGAGUCGUAAAGUUCUGUUCUUGGGGAAGAUAACGACGGUACCCAAGGAGAAAGCACCGGCUAAAUACGU
rnacentral:rRNA from 1 species